rnacentral:rRNA from 1 species
GACGAACGCUGGCGGCGUGCUUAACACAUGCAAGUCGAACGGAGUGGCGAACGGGUGAGUAACAAGUGGGUGACCUGCCCUGCACUUCGGGAUAAGCCUGGGAAACUGGGGCUAAUCCCGGCCAGUGUGGGAUGGGCCGGCGGCCUAUCAGCUUGUUGGUGGGGUAAUGGCCUACCAAGGCGGCGACGGGUAGCCGGUCUGGGAGGGUGGACGGCCACAAUGGGACUGCGACACGGCGCAGACUCCUACGGGGGGAAGCAGUGGGGAAUAUUGCGCAAUGGGCGGACGCCUGAUGCAGCGACGCCGGGUGGGGGAUGACGGCCUUCGGGUUGUAAACUCCUUUUGCCAUCGACGCGGUAGAUGGAGAAGAAGCACCGGCUAACUACGUGCCAGCCGCCGCGGUAAUUC